UUUUCCUGUCUUGAACAAGAUUUACAUGACCUUCUAGAGAGAGCGUCCACAUUGUUGUGUUACGUCCUGGUCUAUGAAUAAUUGUUAAAUUCUAUGUCCCUAAUUCUUCCAACCAUCUUGCUGUUUGUCCAGUUGGAUUCUUUAAAGGGACUGAUUCACGUUUUUCUAAAGAAAUGGGUUUUUUUUUUUCAUUUUUCAUGUUAAAAAUCAAAAAUAUUGCUCAUUUAAAUGUUGACAACCAAAAUUUGGACCGUUUGAAUGUAAGAAUAAGAGCAAUAUUUUAGCUUUGAUUCUGUGUAAUGUAAACAAAGACUCGAGUCUUUUUAUGUAUACAAACAAACCAGUGAAAUGUUAAUUUUGUAAUUUAAAGCAUCUUCAUUUUGUACAAUCACAAAUUCUAACUUUUAAAUGACACCUUUUAACUAAAGUAUACUUGAGAUGUGUAAUAUAUAGUAAACUUGGAUUAACAUUCAUUUACUUUUGAAACCCUGUAACACGCCUCAAUCUAUGUUUUCAAAACAAAUAAUAAAAUCUCUAUAACGAGCUUCUGUCAUGAUGAAUAACCUUUGUGAAACUUUCUAAACAUAUUAGACUAGAUUUUGAUCAUUUAAAGUGAAACACAAAAUUUGUAGGAUUGAUCGAUUGAUUGAUGUUUUUCGCCACACUCAACAAUUUUUCAGUUAUCUGGUGGAGCCCAGUUUUUAUUGGUGGAAGAGAGAACUCAGAUACAAUGUACCUGAGUCCAGGGAAGAGACCACCGACCUUCCUCAUUGAUUUUGAGAGCGAUGCUCUAACCACUAGGACAUGAAGGCCCAAUUUGGAGACAUACCAACAUACCAGAAUCCAGAAUUUAAAUCCAUUGAGCUAUACCAUUUCGACCCAGCAAGUGCGUCUAAAUAUGUAUCUACCGUCGGCAAUGGAUAUGCAGUCUUAACAGGCACUAGUUGGGUAUAAUCAGAAAAGUAUGAUUUCCCCUCAACAUACACGAACUAUGUAAGAAGUUCUGCUGAUAGUAUUUCUCUCGGAACCAAAUGUCCAGAAGGAGGAGGUAGAAUGUCUCUUGUCUUGGUCAACAGCCGACUUUCUUUUCCAUAGUAUGGUUCGGGUUUUAAGAGUACAUAAAGACUUGGUUGAGUAGGAUGUCACAGUGCAUGAUGUCUGAGAAUCGAUGAUCUCCUCGCUGCCGAUAAGCGUGUCCAAUUUCAUGGUCCUCGUAAAUGUCAUAUCUCGUCACCGAUGUCCCUUCCCUCUACGAUAAUUGUGUCCCCUUGCCCCAUUUCACUAUUACGAUUAACCCUAUCUCUUUUAUCAUUAACAAUUACUUCAGGGUCA